rnacentral:lncRNA from 1 species
UUAAUUUAUUUAUUUUAUUUCUAUAUGAAACAAAAUGUAUUUGGUAAGAUGACUAAAGAAAUAUACACUUAUUAAAACAUUAUUACAUACAGAAUAAGAUACACAUGUAAAUACAUCUACAAGAAUUUUGUAUUGAUUGCUAAAAUACCUAACAACUUUUGCAUACAUAUUGGAUUAAGUACUACAACUUAAAGCCCUGCUUCAAUAGUAUAGUUCAAUAAGUAAAUAUUCCAAAAUAAUGGGGUGUUGAAAUCAUCAGCAAUAAUAUCAGAACAUAAACAAUAAUCGUAUGUCUAUAUUUUUUAUUGCCUUUUACAGUAAUCAGUAAUAAUAAAGUCCUAAAGCUUGUGAGCAAAGAUAUUUAAGAAUAGUGAAAAAUUGAUUUAAAUACACCUUAAAUUGCUAUUUAUUCCAAUCAGCAUAAGUUCUGAAAUUACACACUUUUAUCAUGAUGUCACAAACCAGUUAAAGCUGGGUCCCUGUUUAACGAAUGAUUUGUGGUAUUAAACUUGCCACAUUUAAACUAUGUUAAAACACUUUAAACAAAAACAAAAACAAUUAAAACAUUUCAAACAAAGCAUUGUUAUAUUACUUUGAAUUUAUGUAAAAAAUAUUUGGAGCCGGGUCAACCAUCAAUUGAAUUUCAAAAUGUUCACUUUCUAAAGUAAUUACUCAUUUCCCUCAGCUCAUUAGGGCUUUACCCGAAAAAAAUGUCAGAAAGAGCAAGGCCAUUGAUUAGUUAUUACAGUUUUCUAUGUAAAACAAAUAUUGCACUUUGAUUUUAAUGUAUUGGUGGUAUCCCUUAAUUUCAUGGAUGUUCUACCUCCAGGACAGGCAACACUUUUGUCUGGACUGAUGACCCUUUCAAGCAUCACAGUGAAGUGAGUUGACCCAACAGGAAGUUGUCUAUAAAGUGACUGUUUCUCUAAAUUGCCUAAAUAGCAAUAAGUUGUACAUAUAUUUGCACAGCAAAUUUCAAAUUGAACAGUGUAUAGUAUAUGGGAAUACUUUGCAGCAUAAUGAAUUGAGUUAUUUCCCUUUGACUGUACAAUUGUAGGUUAAAAUAUACCACUGAAUACACAAAAAGAGAACAGGCAAGUCAAUAUUGUUUAUAUUAAUUCCAACAACCACCAAUUGAAUGUAAAUAAUAUAUAGAAAAAUAACAUUAAUACAUAUAGUUUAUAAAAUAAUAGAAACUUUGAAUAUUGAUCAUAUAAAAUAUAUCAAAUAGAAAAU